CUGCGGGCCGCGUCAACCGGGCACGGCGGUAUGGUGAACAGGUGGAUUUUCCCGGUUUCUUCACCUGGCCAACGCAUCGGCAGACGAGCACCUGUCCCGCCCGGCCC
rnacentral:sRNA from 2 species